AGAAGUAAAUAAGGGCGUAUGGGGAAUGCCUUGGCUCUCGGAGGCGACGAAGGACGUGAUAAGCUGCGAUAAGCUACGGGGAUUCGCAAAUAGAAAUUGAUCCGUAGAUUUCCGAAUGGGGCAACCCAGCAUGUUGAAGACAUGUUACCUAGUAAUAGGAGCAAACCCAGGGAACUGAAACAUCUAAGUACCUGGAGGAAGAGAAAACAAUUUAGUGAUUGCGCAAGUAGUGGCGAGCGAACGCGCAAGAGCCCAAACCUAGUUAGUUACGGCUAGCUAGGGGUUAUAGGACCACAUAAUUAGAGGUAUAUCAAGCGGAACCGGGUGGGAAACCGGACGAUACAGGGUGAGAGUCCCGUACGCGUACAGUAUACUGAUAUGGUGGUAUCCUGAGUAGGGCCGGGUUGGAGACGCCCGGUUUGAAUUUGCCAGCACCAUCUGGUAAGGCUAAAUACUUCCGAGAGACCGAUAGAGAACCAGUACUGUGAAGGAAAGGUGAAAAGUACCGUGAAUAACGGGGUGAAAUAGAACCUGAAACCGUACGCCUACAAGCGGUCGGAGCUUCUAAAUGGAGUGACGGCGUGCCUUUUGCAUAAUGAGCCUACGAGUUGCUCCUCACUGGCGAGGUUAAGUUCGUGAACGAAUGGAGCCGCAGCGAAAGCGAGUCCGAAUAGGGCGGAUAGUCAGUGGGGGCAGACGCGAAACUUUGUGAUCUACCCUUGGUCAGGAUGAAGUUCCGGUAACACGGGAUGGAGGUCCGAACUAGUAAACGUUGAAAAGUUUUUGGAUGAACUGAGGGUAGGGGUGAAAGGCUAAUCAAACUGAGAAAUAGCUCGUACUCCCCGAAAUGCCUUUAGGGGCAGUGUGGAGGUUAAGUUUAAUACAGGUAGAGCUACCAAUAGGACUAGGGGGAGUCACAUCCUACCAAAUCCUGAUGAACUCCGAAUGGUAUUAAAUAUACUCUGCAAUGAGGGCAUGGGUGCUAAGGUCCGUGUCCGAGAGGGAAAGAACCCAGACCUACAGCUAAGGUCCCAAAAUCUAGAUUAAGUUGAACUAAGGCGGUUCAGUUGCACAGACAGCCAGGAUGUUUGCUUGGAAGCAGCAAUUCAUUUAAAGAGUGCGUAACAGCUCACUGGUCGAGCGACAGAGCAUCGAUAAUAAUCGGGCAUCAAAUCUAGUACCGAAGCUUAGGAUUGUAGUAAUACAGUGGUAGGGGAGCAUUCUAACAGCGGCGAAGUCGUCUGGUAAUGGACGGUGGAGCGGUUAGAAAAGCAAAUGUAGGCAUAAGUAACGAUAAUGCAUGCGAGAAACAUGCACACCGAUAGACUAAGGUUUCCUGAUCAACGCUAAUCGGAUCAGGGUUAGUCGGGACCUAAGGAAAAGCCGAAAGGUGUAUUCGAUGGCCAACAAGUUAAUAUUCUUGUACCUGUCUUAUAAGUGAUGGAGAGACGGAGUAGUGAAAGAUCUGCGCACUGACGGAAUAGUGCGUUAAAGCCUGUAGGUAUAGGUUGCGUAGUAAAAUGCGCGCGACUUGCUAAAGGGUGAUAGUACCAAGAGGCUUCGGCCAAUUGGAUAAUGAUCCUAAUCAGACUUCCAAGAAAAUCUUCUAAGCGCUAAUUAUAAGUCAGCCCGUACCGCAAACCGACACAGGUAGUCAAGGAGAGAAUCCUAAGGUGCUCGAGUGAGUCAUGGCUAAGGAACUAGGCAAAUUAACCCUGUAACUUCGGGAAAAGGGGUGCCUCCUCCAGUAAUGGAGAGGUCGCAGAGAAAUGGCCCAGGCGACUGUUUAACAAAAACACAUGGCUAUGCGAAAACGAAAGUUGAAGUAUAUGGCCUGACACCUGCCCGGUGCUGGAAGGUUAAGGGGGGAUGUUAGCCGCAAGGCGAAGCAUUGAACUGAAGCCCCAGUAAACGGCGGCCGUAACGAUAACGGUCCUAAGGUAGCGAAAUUCCUUGUCGGGUAAGUUCCGACCUGCACGAAUGGUGUAACGAUCUGGGCACUGUCUCAGCCAUGAGCUCGGUGAAAUUGUAGUCACGGUGAAGAUGCCGUGUACCCGUCACGGGACGGAAAGACCCCAUGCACCUUUACUAUAGCUUCGCAUUGACAUUGGGUACGUGAUGUGUAGGAUAGGCGGGAGGCAUUGAUCCUGGGCCGCUAGGUCUAGGGGAGUCGACGGUGAAAUACCGCCCUUUAUAUACUUGAUGUCUAACCCGGGAAACCGGGGACAGUACGUGGUGGGUAGUUUGACUGGGGUGGUCGCCUCCGAAAGUGUAUCGGAGGCUUUCAAAGGUAUGUUCAGUACGCUUGGUAACCGUACGUGGAGUGCAAUAGCAUAAACAUGCUUGACUGUGAGACUGACAAGUCGAUCAGGAUCGAAAGAUGGAUAUAGUGAUCCGGUGGUUCUGUAUGGAAGGGCCAUCGCUCAAAGGAUAAAAGGUACGCUGGGGAUAACAGGCUGAUCUCCCCCAAGAGCUCAUAUCGACGGGGAGGUUUGGCACCUCGAUGUCGGCUCGUCACAUCCUGGGGCUGGAGAAGGUCCCAAGGGUUAGGCUGUUCGCCUAUUAAAGUGGCACGCGAGCUGGGUUCAGAACGUCGUGAGACAGUUCGGUCCCUAUCUGUGAUGGGCGUAGGAAGUUUGAGAGGUCUUGACCUUAGUACGAGAGGACCGGGUUGAACCAACCGCUGGUGUACCGGUUGUGGCGUCAGCUGCACCGCCGGGUAGCUAUGUUGGGACGAGAUAAGCGCUGAAAGCAUCUAAGCGCGAAACUCACCUCAAGAUGAGACUUCCAUUAAGGGACGUCAGAGAUGAUGACGUUGAUAGGCUGCAGGUGUAAAGGCAGAAAUGUCAAAGCUGAGCAG
rnacentral:rRNA from 1 species